CCGCCUGCACCUGCUGCGCGUAACGCUGGCUGACUAGUUGACUUGGCUUCCAUUCUCCAUUCGACAUUCUCAACGUGCGGUUGUCGUUCUCGCUUUGCUCUCGCUCUUGUCGCUACCCGUUAUCGUUGUAGUAGUUAAGCAUUGUCAAAGCUCCAAAGCUUAUUUGAGUUUUGCCAUUGCCCAUUGCCAUUGCCAUUGCUAUUGCGAGCGUUUACCGUUAGAAUCGUUAUACAACAAGCCAUUGGCGCAGGCGUUUAACGUCCACGCGUUUUAUUUUGCGCGCUCGCGUUUCGGUUCUUAACUUGCCUUGAGAGCUUUGCCCAAGACUGUCUUCUGCUCUCUGCGCUCCGUGAUCUUUGCUCGCCUCGCCGGUUGUUCUCGCUACGCGUUUGUGUUUCAUAUAAAACAGUUAUAAGACCACAGUGCGUAUACUUGAUAUUUGGUAGAACCAAAGCCAAAUCGAACCAAACGAAACUAAAGUGCGCACUAACAAGUUACAUGUGCAAUUUUGAAACAAUUACGAGUAUAACAAUUAAAAGUUCUUAAAGUCCAAGCUUAAGCAGUGGCUCGAGUUGUGAAUAGUGCAAUAAUCAAAAAAAAAAAAAAAAACUAUUUGUGAAUAGACAAAAUAAACUAUUGAAUGAAAACUAUCAAUUAAAAUAUACCUCGCUUUAUGACAACUUGCUGUUGGCCGCUUUAUAUUUGCUCAGGUAAGUUACAACAGGCUCAACAGAAAAUGAAAAUGAAAAUGAAAAACUGUGA